UUUCUCAAACCAGGAACUAACAUGUUCGUUAUUUCACAGUGAGACUUGUAUCAACAACGACGUUUUCAGUUUGUUUCGAACCCUUUUAGGAUGACAACUGGCUUCAAUUAGCAGGCUUUCAAAGACAAUUGAUCCGCAAUAUCAACAGCAAAGAGGGAUCUUCCACGUGGACAAAGUGCAUUUGAGUCAAACGGAAUACGUGGUUUAUAUCCGCAAUAUCAACAGCAAAGAGGGAUCUUCCACGUGGACAAAGUGCAUUUGAGUCAAACGGAAUACGUGGUUUAUAUCCGCAAUAUCAACAGCAAAGAGGGACCUUCCACGUGGACAACGUGCAUUUGAGUCAAACGGAAUACGUGGUUUAUGUGUCAAACCGAUGGCAGUUUCAGUGCCACUGCAGCCACCAUCAAUGUUAUCAAUUACCUGUUUCAAACCGAUGGAAGUUUCAGUGCCACUGCAGCCAACAUCAUCACAGAUGUACACAAACGUUAUAUCUCUGCCCGAUGUCGGACCGAUGACAAUGCUACGGAGGCCGCCACCACAAACACGUGUGUACCAAGACUUUGUAUUUCAGCGCAUGGGAAUGAAACCAGUGGAAGCCUUGGCUGGAAUUGGACAUGAUCUUGGUAAAAGACUUCGUGAUCAUGGCUUUUCUUUGGCCUGCCAAGUCUUCGAAAAGUUCUUAGAGCUGAAGGGAGAUGAAGUUGAGUUUUAUUUGUGGUUGUGGAACUUAGCAAAAGCAAGCUGGCAGUGCAGUUCAGAUUGUUAUUUUUGUUUAGUUGGGUAUUAUGACCAGCAGCGCAAACGCAGUAUUUUAUCAACGACUCAGCCCGCCGCUAUAUGCGGCUCGUACUGAUCUACGCAUAUUUACCAAAACAGAAUUUUGUUAAAUUUCGGAAAACUAAUAACUUAGUAGAUGUGUGGAGAAAAAUGUUUUCAGAGAGGAAACAGUUUACGUGGAGGCAGCUGUCACUGAACAUUUACUCAAAACUAGAUUAUUGGCUCAUGUCGAAAGAGCGUUUUUCAUAUAUUUAUUCAAUUGACAUAAAACCAGUGUUGAAAUGCGAUCAUAACGGGGUAUCCAUGAAACUUAAAAUAUUUGCACAAAGUAGGGGAAAGGGUUGUUGGAAACUGAAUAAUUCUAUCCUGAAGGAUGAAGUGUUUAAGGAAAAUGUUAAACGUAUUAUUCGUAAGGUUAAUAUUGAAUGUAGUCAAUUUGAUAAACAACUAAGGUGGGGAAUGUUUAAAAUUAAAAUUAAAGAAUUUAGUACAAAAUAUACAGUUGAUGUUAAUACAAGAAAAAAUUAAUAUAUUGCUAAUAUGGAAAGUGAAUAUGAUAACUUGUGUAAGAAAAUAGAUGAGGGUUCAUGUGCAUAUGAUACAGAUAGAAUAAAGUGUUUGAGACAAAAGAUAGACAAGUGGUAUGAAUAUCAGUGCAAAGGUGCAUUUGUGAGAUCUCGGGCGAGGUGGCUUGAAUUAGGUGAAAAGUCAACACGAUAUUUUCUUCAGCUUGAAAAAGCUAAAAGGAAAACAAAAGAAAAAGAUUGUCUUGAAAGUAACGGGAAAAUUAUCAAAGAUGAACAGAAAAUGUUGACAGGUAUACGAGAAUUUUAUUGUAAACUCUAUAAGGGAUUUAAAGAAUACGUAUCUGAUAUCAACUUAAAUGUUUUGAAUGAAGAAGAUGCAUAUUUAUGUGAGGGAAAAAUCACAGAGAAUGAAUGCUGGGAAGCAUUGAAGUGAGGGUUACGACAAACAACAAUUGUCGUGCUCACAAAGGCAAGCUAUCCUUACUCUUUUAUAUAAGAAAGGUAACAAAAAUGUUUUAGAUAAUUGGCGACCUAUUUCGCUGCUAAACAUUGAUUAUAAACUUGCAGCUCGCAUUCUUUCAAUACGAUUACAGAAAGUUAUAUGUAAACUUGUUUCACAGGAUCAGGCUGUUGUUUUUUUUUAAAACCGCUCUGCAUCUGAAUGUACCAGACUAAUUCAGGAUACUAUUGAUCAUUGUCUUUUUGCAAACAAACCAGUUGUUAUGAUGUUCUUGGAUUUCAAAAAAGCGUUCGAUACCAUUGGUCAUGUUUUUUUUAUUUUCCUUGUUACGGAAACUUAAAUUUAAAGAUUCGUUUUUAAGAUGGAUUGAAACGUUAUAUAAUGGUGCUCAUGGUCGUGUCUUAAAUUUUGGUUGGAUAUCCGACAAAUUUGUAAUAUAAAGAGGUGUUAGGCAAGGUUGCCCACUUUCUCCAUUUUUAUUUAUAAUAAUUGCAGAGGUUUUAGGGAAAAGAAUUAAACAAAACGCCAAAAUAGAGGGAAUCCAAGUCCCAGACUUCAAUGAAGAUCAAGCUGAUUUUAAAUAUAUACGUAUCGUUCAAUAUGCAGACGAUUCGACGAUUAUUACUAGAUCUGUUAAAUUUGUUAAAGAAAUAAUGAAAGAAGUAGAACUGUUUGGAGCACAUGCGGGACCAAAAAUUAACUGGACCAAAUCAAAUCUUAUGAAACUAAAUAUAAAUGACGAUGAAGUUGAAGAUUUACAUUUCACCGAAGACCCUAUAAAAUGUCUUGGUAUUUAUGUAGGUAAAAAUUCUUUUGACGUU
rnacentral:lncRNA from 15 species